rnacentral:lncRNA from 1 species
AAAAGAAUCAGUCAGGGCUUGUUAUCCUGUGGAUAUGGAUCUGCAUUUUUGUUUUCCUCCUGCAAGAUUUCUGAUUUAUUUUUAUCAAAGAAAUUGCAAGUCCUGAGGAAAGUAUGGAGAAGAUGCCUCUUUCGUGUGAGGGGCUCUGCAAGCUGAUUCAUUUCUAAAAGCAAUCGUGUGCUGUCAAAUGAAGACCCCCAGGCCCAGGGAAUUCGAUCACUGGCUGAGAACUCACAGCUAAGGAGGGGGAGCCUGGGAUUCCUUCCUGGUGCUCACACCCGAGACCCUUUUGUCACUGUGUUCAAAGGCACUGCUGCACAGACGUGAUUCUUCUUUCAACGAACAUCUCCAGGACUUCCUCCGGGGUCUGUGACCUCAUCUAUAAUUAAAGGGAAAGAGAUCUUCCUGAGAUUAGCCCAUUUAACUUGUUUAACUAGAUGCAUGCUGCAAAAACUGUUUUCAAGAAAUGAACAAUUGACUAUUUAAAAAGAGCCAAGCCUUAAAAGAAGACCAGGUUUUAAUAGGGAAAACAUUCAGUAAAAUAUUAUUCUGCAGUAACUUGUGGAAUGACUGCUGUACACACAGCUCUGGGCUGGGUACCUGGAAGCUCACGAGCUUGUUUGGCCUCCCCUCCUGGACACAGGAGGUGUCAAGGCUGUGGUCAGCAGAAUCUACCCAGCUGGACACUGAGUGGACGCCCUGUGGGGUGGCUGUGAAAUGGGUCCACUUUGUAGUGGCAGCAUCCCUGAUAGUACUUCUGAAAGGGACAAGAUAGAAAAGCAAACCAAACUGAAACUGAGAAGUCGUGGAUGAUACCAGGGGCGCACAGUGGCUGACAGGAAGAGACUGCCUGGGGGGUCUCGGAGCCAGUGGCUGGAGUGGAGUUAGUUUGACCGAGUCCUGGACUAGGGAGGGGACCCCCAAAGCAUGCCCAGCAUGGCGCUAGUGGGGCCCAGGCACCCCAUGUCCCAACGACUAGAACCAAUAAUCAGGUUAACACUCAUUAAAUAAGAAGUGUCUGUGCCUCCUGGGAUAAAAAUCCUUUAUAACGAUCUGGGACGCGAGCUCAAGUCCCUGUUCCCUUGUCCUCCACAGCAGUGUGCAGCGUGGAACUCGGCGGUUCGGGGUCCCUGAGUCCCUGAGCCACUGUCUACCCCCUGCUCCAUCCCAAAUGCAGAGACCCCUGAGCACUCAUGUGGACAUGCCCCACCAUGCCCUGGCUGCUCCUUCAGGAUGGCGCAGGGCCACCGCUAUGGGAGGACUCUAAAGGGUGGGUCUCAAGCCCUCCUCUGCUUACCCUAAAUCAGGAGAGCAAACCGAAUGCACUGCCCUCUUCCUUCACUCCUGCAUCCCAUCCCCCGCUAUGGCCUCACUAUCAGGUCUGCUGUGUGCCAAAAUAUUUUACCAUGCCCUAAAAGUGAGAUGUUGGAAGUGGACAAGGAGGAAAUAUUUAUGAAUAUUUGAGUCUGUUAUUCUUUAUGUUAAGCAUUUUGGCUUCUGUUGUACUCCUAAAUCACUACUGAGAGCAGAGAAAGAGCUCUUUGUAGAAAUGAGAUGUGUUCCUGUGUGCUGCCUGUGACGCAUCCCGUUGUCACCGGAGUGCCGUGGCCCUAAGGAAUGACAGCAUUAAGGCAUGGACGUUAAAGAUGGACAAAAGAAUUGUUCACGGUGUUGUAUUUUAAAAUGACUAUGUGUAUGACAAUUAAACUAUUGUGUCUUCGUUUACUCCAUGUGUUCUGCCUGACAGCUGGG